AGCAGCCGCGGUAAUUCCAGCUCCAAUAGCGUAUAUUAAAGUUGUUGCAGUUAAAAAGCUCGUAGUUGAAUUUUGGAUUCUUCCAAUUGGUCCAUCUUUUAGAUGAGUACUGGUUGUGUGGGGUCUAUCCGCCUGGUGAUACGUAAUGUCCUUUAUUGGAUGUUGCGGGUAGUCAGGACCUUUACCUUGAAAAAAUUAGAGUGUUUAAAGCAGGCUUAUGCCGGAAUACAUUAGCAUGGAAUAAUAGAAUAGGACGAAGUUGUUUUAUUUUGUUGGUUUCUAGGACAACCGUAAUGAUUAAUAGGGAUAGUUGGGGGCAUUAGUAUUCAAUUGUCAGAGGUGAAAUUCUUGGAUUUAUUGAAGACUAACUACUGCGAAAGCAUUUGCCAAGGAUGUUUUCAUUAAUCAAGAACGAAAGUUAGGGGAUCGAAGACGAUCAGAUACCGUCGUAGUCUUAACCAUAAACUAUGCUGACUAGGGAUCGGGCGAUGUUGUUUCCAUGACUCGCUCGGCACCUUAU
rnacentral:rRNA from 1 species